AGCGGAUGUGUGGUGUGGCUACAGUGCCAACAUUGUUCUCUUACAAUAGAAAACCAAAAUGAGGAACUCGUAGAGUACAUUCCCCUCUCCGACCACCUUUGGACUAAAUGUUUGAUCAUCUUCUUGACAAUAUUUGAUUUCUAAAAAUCUAUCCGGGAAUAAUGUUUUCUUAUUUUAUUUUUCUGGUCGCCUCCUCAGUUACUUUUCUGUGCACCCACCAAGUGUCCAGUCAAGAUUCUAGCUGCACAGAGUAUCCUGUGUUCACUCCAUCUGCACUGGUAGUGAAGUACGGUGACCCAGCCAAUGUUACAUGUGAUGUAUGUCAGAAGGACUGCAGUGGAGAUGUUUUUGGUUUGGAGCACGCUGUGGGAAAAAGUACACCAAAUGGAACCACGAUGUUGUGGACGGUCGACAGACUGACUGAAUGGGACAUAUUUGUCAUGUGCUAUUAUAACGCUGAUGCUGGUGAUCAGUGUUCUAGCACCCUGGAUCUAACUCUUUAUCAGCCUCCAGAAAGUGUCUCCAUCAGCUUUGUAAACCACACUGGGAUGAUGUUUGAGAAUCAGCAGUACACCCUGCAGUGUAGCGUACAGAACGUAGCUCCUGUUCAAAGCCUCACUGUGACCUUCUACAGAGGAAACACAGCACUGGCUCACCUACAGUCCAAGAAUGACAUGAAGAAACCAGUGAAUGAGUCCUUCACUCUGAACAUCAAUUCCAGUAGAGAAUAUAAUGGAGCCCAGUAUUGGUGUGAAGCCAAGCUGAAGCUGGGACCAGCUGGACCACAGCGCCCUCCAGUGGUGACAUCAGAAAAACUCCGUGCUACAGUCUAUUUUGAACCAACCACAACCAGAAAGCCAGAACCUACAACCAUUAAAUCAACAACAAGGUCAACCACAAGAGCCACAACACCCCAAACUACAAAGUCAACAACUACAAUCACCAAAUCAACUACAAGCUCAGCCACAACGACAACAGCGACCACGACAGCACUAAUUGCACAAACAAACACUACACCAAACAGCAGCUCCAACAGAAUAUUAACUCACAGCUUCAUGUGUUUAAUGCUUCUGCUCUCUGCUGUCAUCUGAUUUCAUAUCAAACAAUUGCAUGAGCCUUUUAUAACAAUGAAUGUAACUUGAUCAUAGCAAAUACUUCAUUCAUUUUCUGUAUAGUUUCUUAGCUUUAAAGGCAGUGAGUGAACAGUAUUUAAAUGACUUGUUUUUCUAUAUAUGCACACACAUAACGAACUAAGGUGACUAGUUAGAGUUGCUUUCUUUUAUUUAGAUCAUUAGAGUCGUUUACAGCUGUGCUAGAAACACCAACAAGCUGAUGUUUCUCAGGAGUUCAGUGGUUCCAUUUGUAGUGUCGCUCUGCAGUGUCGACCUCAUUUUAAUUCAUUAGAAAUUAAACACCUUCAUUUGUCUAUAAAUAAGAACACGCCCAUUCUGACAGUGUUCACAUUUAUAAUCUAUUUGUUUUACAAACAAAUGAGGAGCAGCAGAAAUAUAAGUUCCAUCUCAUAAUUUUGUCUUUAUUUUUCCCUUUGUGCACAUUCGCUCAGUCUACUUUAAUCUCUGUCGUGAUCACAGGAGGAAAACUAAUAUUUCACUCUAAGAACAUAGUACAUUUAGAUAUUUAAUCAUAAAUAACACUGCAGGGAAAUGUUUUCAUUUGAGCUGACGAUGGUCCUUGAUGAGGUCACAGCAUUACCAAAGUUGCAACAAAUCAUUUCUGGCAGAGAAAAGUCGCGAUCAGUCUGUGGAUUAAUCCUGUGAGGAUCAUGAAUACCAAAUUGAUAACCUAACUGUCCAACAUUGGAACCAUAUACCACAGUGCUGAUUUGUAUAUAAAUGCACAUCAUACAUUUUUUUGCAUUAAUGCUUUAUUCACUGACAGCCACUAUAACAGAUCUUCCUGUAGUUACAAUAACACCAGUCUUAGCUUCCUUCUAUAUAAUGAAUCGUAUGAUCUGAGAAUGGCUUUAAUCGCAGAAUUCUGUUUUAUGUGUGUAUAUUGAUUUUUCUAUGUAUGUACACCAAAUAUAAACCAAAAUAAAGUUGUUGAUUUUUUAAUGUAAA